UUCGACUUCUUAUUCAUAGUUGAGAUACUCCCAACCUCCACCAGCAAGCAGCACCGGAGUUAAUCGUAACGUUUCGAUCUGGGGGUCAGGAGCAGAGGUUGUAGUAUCGUAGCCAAUGCUCUUUGAUCACCGUCACGAGAUUUGACUAUAGCUAAUCAAUCUCCUGCUUUCAUGGAGUUUGGAAUCUUAAUGCUAUACUUAGAGCGGAUCUAGAAAUCCCCAGGUAGUGGUAGUUGGCUUGGUGAAAUCCGAUAAUCGAUUGGCUUUAGAAAGGCGAAAGGCGGCUUGCCCAACCUAGACAUUGUAACUGAAAGUCCUGCCUACUUCUCUUCUAGGCUUAGGGUAGUCCUAGACUACCUUCUUCUUUGCUGGCUUGGGAAAGACCCGCGGGCUAUGGAUCCCACUAAUAGAAUGGGACUAUAACCAACCUUCCAUGGUCUAGGUUCAAGGACAAUACAGAUUGUGGCUUGGAGUAUCUAAGGAACGGUAGUCGUUUAGUGCGACAGCACUCUGGCUUCAUGGACCUAAUUUUUAGGGACGGACUCGCUAGUGUCCCAGGGGUGACACUACACACUGAAUUGCCCACAACACUAUUUUUCCACAGGGCUGAAUCCAUAGAAACCUUGGCCAUUACUUUAAGCGGCGGAUGAUGGGUAUGCAGGAUCGGUUGCAACGGUUUCACAUUCAUGUGAAUCAAGAGAUUGGCUUGAAAGGCUUUCCAACUAGCCAUAGUACCAUUGCGAGUUGUCCUUCUUCUUUAAUCGGUCGCACCAACUUGUUCCCGCUUUGGGAAGGGAACUUGGUUGGAAUUCCAAUUUCAAAGAAAACACAUGCGAAAGGCAAGACAUUGAGAAGGGCUUGUUCUUGAAUUAGAUGGAACAUUAGCGGUCUUAGGUGAUUUAUCAUUGCCCCCAGGAGAGGUUCGAAAGUAGGGCUAUUCAAAGCACAGUGAGGCAAAGCGAGUGACAGGUAUGCAAUCCCCAGUAAAGUAAGCCAAGUAACGACUAUCUACAACCUCUUCUUUCAUUUGUCCUGAAAACAAGCUAUUUGUUCUGAAAGAAAAGCAAGCUAAGACGCUUUUUUCGCGGCAAGAGCGGUGUUGUAGCAUCAACAGGAAAGUUAUUUGGCAGUUGCUUUAGCAGCUCCUUCUCUAAGACCGUCUUCAAUAGCAGCGCUUAUUCCAACAACACCAGCAAGAGCGGAUACUCACCUAAGAGCAGAUAUGCCGACAUCUUUCCACGUUCAAGCAGCUAAUCAGUAAACGACUUCUCCGUCACUUGUUCUUAUUCUUAAACCCUUCGUGCCCCAUAGCUGUCGUAGUUAGAUAUCAAAGUUCUCCCUCUUAAUGAUAAUUACUUUCCUGGGGCGGUUGUGCAAGACGAAUGCAAGCUGUAGGAUAUUAAUUGAUAAAGUCAAAAUCUUUCUCUAGCUCUAGACUAGCUAUUCCGCAUUGCCCUUUCGUGUCUUAUUCCAGAUCUUUAUUGAAUCUGAAGUUAAGUACUUUCACAAUAUGAAUUACCAAAUCUAUAGGCUAUGUCAAUAGUCAUCGCCUUGUCUGACUUCCGUCUUCCAUUAGCAUUGCCUACUCGUAAGACAUAUUAUACAAAGUAACCAGAUCCCCUCACUCGAGUUCUUUGCAUUGAGCUCGCUUGGUUCGUCUGUUCAUCGGUCAUUGAAGGAAAGCGUUUAUGGCUAGCGUAAUGUCUUCUGCCUAUCUGUAUUCUAAGAAUGUUCUCUUGCCCCCAGGUGUUCGUCAUGGUCGCGGUAAAGGUUUGUUGGAGCCUGGUCGAGAAGUUCAGAUGUUCAUCCUGCGUGAUGAGGGACAAGCGGUGGAAGAGGAAAGUUUCGUCAUGGAUAUAGGUUUCCUAAUCCUAAGGGAACAAGGGAUCUAAAAUUACCAUUUUCCUAAUGUGUUUUCAUUAGACUAAGGAUAGAAUUCUCCGAGGGUUAGGAAAGUGGAGAUAGGGUAAAAAUCCCAAAGGAUAUUUACAAAGACUACUAAAAAAGAGCACGGACUUGGCUUGGUGUCGGGAAUGGAAGAACAGCAAGAGACAGGGCUAAUCGUUGGUUUUGUCUACUAUAUUAAUUAGAAUUAUGAUUGAUAUCCUCGAGGCGCUUUUCCUUAAGAGACGGGAUAAGAAAGAGAGAGAGCUCGUGGCUGUAUAUUUUUUAUCAAAUUGAUUCCUAACAGGAACAGGAUUGGCAAAUGUCACUGUGCGUAACACAUUUAAUUGGAAGUGGAAUGAAGAUAAUGCGCUUUACUCUUUCAUUUGUAGCUGGAUUAGUCCUUUGGUUGGGCUAACUUGAAUCAGUUUAGUUUUUCACUAAGCCUCAUCUGAGUGCUAUAUACUAUUAGCUCCUUGAUUACUUAUCAAAUAAAAUGAACAUUUUUGAAUCACCGCCUACGGCCCCUCGAUCUUAUUAGCUUAGUAGCAGCCGUGGAAGUUAUAGUAGUUCUAGCAGAGUAAGCUAGAAGAUGACCAAUCUCCCCAUCAUGAUUCAUGAUUGGUGGCGACUCGGAUGGCAUCUGAUUAACUAGCGCAGGAGAGUGAGUUCCCGCAGGUCAUUUUUUUCUCUUAUGAGGCAAGUCUUUUAGAGCACAAGAACGACUUAGAAUCGGUACCGCCAUCCAUGUUCAAAGAACAGAUGCAGCUAACCAACGGGCAAGCAGGUUCCGCGGGUUAGGAGGCUGCCUUUAAGUGAUAGGGGGGCCCUCAUUUCAUACAAAGGAAAGCAGAAGGAUGGGACUGUCGUGUCGAUCACAUUCGAUUGAGAGUUCUCACCUCUUUGAGCUUAGGUCAGCAAGAAGUCAUCCCCGAGGAAAGAAUGAGUCUUCGGCGAGCCGGUACCCACUACCUGUUCCAGAAACCUCUUUUCUCAUAGCUCAUAGGUAAGUGUGAAAUUAGCCAGUUGUUCCUCUCUCGUUGGUCGAGCUACUUUGUUCCUCAAAUAAGUCGGAUUCGGGAGCCCCUAUUAAUGAACAGGGGAACGGAACCAUAAACUAAGGCGAUCAACAUUCCUCUUCCGAUUCAUUGACUAUUCUCACCUUCUACCGGUCAAGUUAGUCCGCCCCUCUCCUUUACUGGUGAGCUAGUCCUCGUUCUUUAUUGAUCGAAUACGAGAUCUCGGUAUAUGAUUAUUUAAGGUGUGGGGAGGGAAAGUUUCACAUAAGUUUCCCCAUUCCCGAGUGACAUAAGGGAAAAGGGGUCUUUCACAAUUUGGUUUGGACCCGGCCUGUACUUUUAGUGAGCAACCAAACCUCUCUUCUAUACCCGGGGAGUUACGUUAGCGCUUAAGAAUCUUUCUUUCGUAGGUGAAUCUCGAUGUCUAUUCCUAGCUAAUCAAGAAAGGGUUGUCCUCCCUCUCAAUCAAUGCUGUUCUCCCUCUAUUUCCUUCUUCCGGUGGUUGAGCGAGUCCGUUCUUCGUCCUUUUCAGACGUUAGCGCUUGGUUGUUGCCAAACAAACCCAGUUCCGGUGGACGGGGGAAGAAGAGGAAUCAAAAUCAGAAUCGGAAUCUUGUUCUGAGAAAGGGUAUGUUGCAGGGGAAUCUGGCCCAGUUAAUUAAUCGGGUUUUAGAGAACACGGCCCAAGCCGAAGUCGGUUUCAGACUACUAUCCGGCCCUAGCUGAAUGGUUUGAUUUUUCAACGAAAGAUGGGUUUGAAAACAGGUACCAAAUUGUCUUGAUAAGGUGGGGAUGGUUCUGCCCCUUUCCCCAGGAAAUUGCUCUGAUUGACCGAGAUCUCGUGUUCUUUCAAGAGUGAUAUGACACCAUGCUAGUCGGACGGGAAGUAAGGCUUAGGUAGGGCGCCUAGUCGGAAAAGCCGUAAUCAGGUUACCCGAGAUAGAAUAGGGCUCAGUGCAAUAGUCAAUCUAGUAAAUAUAAUAAGAGAAGAAUUAGCGUAAGAAAAGCCUAGCCUUUCCCUUACCGACGAGUGAGUACCCUUUUUUCUCUUUUUAGUUGAGUUGGUGUUCAAUGUGCCCCGUGGGUACAAACAAGAUGGAAAGGGUCAACAAUCCCUUACUUUAGUAAGCAACCUCAGUUCCCUUACUUGUUAAAGUAAGCAAGUCAACUCUCUUACUUGUUCUUGUAAGCUAUUUCUUUCCCGUACUUUAGUAAGUAAGCAUGUAAACGACCAUCUCUCCGCAGAUAAAAGACUAGAGUAGGCCCCAUAGAGAUGUUGACAUCUGGGUUCACUGAUCUUGAAAAACUAACGGAGAUAAGGUCGAUAGCUUGCUUUCUCGUGAAAGUACGGAAGAAGGUCGCUGAGGUAGAGUCCAUAGGCAAACUUCUUAGGAUGUCUUUGCCCCGUUCCCGGUUCCUUUUGAAGACCCAUAGUAGCCGCAAAGCACCAUUCUGCGCACUCAGAAUAAAAGAGUGAAUUUCCACUAAUGAGUUUCAAAGUGUCUAUGAACAUGAAAAAUCUCCUUUCUACAGCUUACAACUUUCAUCGCCCUUAUAUUUAGCUCUCCAAAGAGCAAUUCUUCUCAAAAGGUGCUGACCAUUCUAAACGUGGCUUCAAAGUUAUUCUUUCUAAGCGCGGAUUCAGUUGAUGAACUGUGCCACCUUCCUUCUACUAGUUGAUUUAACCGCAUCAACCGCAAAGAAAGUGACGACCUAUUCUCUAGCAGCAGCAGGGGCAAGCCUAAACAUCUACACCUUCCAUGGGAAUUUUGGAAGAAUUCCAUUUCCUUAAGGAAUCAGUCCCAAGAGCGGCUACGACUACGAGAGCAGUUACCCUUCUAACCUUAACACCGGUUACGUCCUUCUUCUGUCAUCGGGGAUGGGAACCUUGGUAGGAAUGUUGGAGGGUUCUCGGCAGGUAGGUUUGAUGCUAGCCUUGUUGCCUUGGCAUUGGCUGAUUCAAGACAUCCUCGCAAAGGCGCCAUCUUUCUUAAGUGACUUUUAUAGACCUCUUUUUCUUAAAUACGAUAAUUGGGUUUUUGAGACCACUGCGAUAAAUGAGCUUUUGAGACUCCGUUUUGUUAACAACAGGUACUCUUUCUAGCCUUACUUUAACAAGUAAGCAAGUAAACUACCUUCACGGGUAAGGAUCAUCUGCCCUAUGAAAACGCAUAGCCUCGAUAGUGGUCUAAGGCAAGAAAGUAUGAUCCGUCACGUGUGCCAAGGAGAUGGCGAUUAACAUUGAAUUCUCUCCUCUUGUUUUAAUAUGAAUUGACUCCGCUUCGGUCACUUUCUUCGUAGGUCCUUAAGCAACUCCUCUUGUCACUAGUCACUAUGGCCGAAGGUUAGCAAGCCUGUCUCUUGAUAUAAAUAGUCAUUCCUUUCUUUCCUUUGUUAGAGAAUCACCUCUCUCUGGUCUGGUAGGAAUUCCAUCUCUUCUGUAGUCAUGCCUGUAGUCAGCCAGGGAGUGAGGAAAGCCGCUUUCAAGCCAGUACGGUACCACUCUCUCCUCAAAUCGGAUAUUGGACCCUGUUAUCGAAUAGGUUCUUUCAGCUAGGAAUGGAGUAUAGGUACAAAACCGGUUGAAAGCUCUCCAACGGUAGCUGUCGAACGGUCAAAUCGGCUUGUCUUCGGUCUGUCAAUGAACUUCCUUCUCGCCCUUGAUUACAAAGCACCACAAUCUAAAACUGUCAAAAGAAAUUGAACAUGAUUGUUGCAACUGUUCAUUCCUUAAUUUCACAAUCAUAGAUGUCGUCACACGAGAAUAGGUGGAGGACUUAUUAAAGGCAUAUCUGGGGGAGAGAGAAAAAGAACUAGCAUAGGGUAUGAAAUCCUUGUUGAUCCUUCUCUCCUCUUGCUCGACGAACCAACUUCAGGCCUUGAUUCGUCCUCCGCAAGGAAGGAACGAGUCGGUUCCCCUUUCCGUCUUUCGGUAGCAUAAAGAAAAUAGAUUCAAAUUGACAAACCACCAAAAGAGUGAGAAAAAGGGGGGCAAGUGUACAUUAGGCCAUGUGCAACAAACAAAGUACAAGGAUAGCACCGUACCCUCAUAGUCCUCAAUCUUUGGCACAUCUGGAUCGGCGGAAACUCACUCGGUCUGCGCGUCUACCGGGGCACCAUACUGACUUUUAUAUUUAUGAUAUAAGGAGUGCACUCCACUUCAUAAAGAGUGAAUAGAAUUCACUCUAUACCCAUAUCCCUGGAACAACUGUAAAAUAAACUCCAUCUUAGUCUACCCGACUUUGACUUUGACUUGAAAGAGUAAGUUUUCGCCUCUGUUGUUGAAAAGUCAGGACCCGUUGGGGAAUCUAUUCUAGACCCGCCUGCCGGCCCUAAAUCUAUCUUACUCUUCCUUGGUCUCUUCCACGGAUCGGUGGAUAUGAAAUAGAAUGAAUUCAAGGACAAAGUCGCCGGUAUACUGUGAUCCAGACCCAGGAAGGGCCAGACAUGAAUCGGAAAGAGUAACUUUCCUCAUAGGAGAAAGGGUGCGCGCUAAAGCUAGAGCAGCUCUUUUUCGCGAUAUAGGUGUAAUUUCAUUAAUUCAGUACUUAAGGUCUUCCCUCGUCAAACGAAUCAAAAAAAAGAAGGUUGGCUUUUCGCCGUGCUCCUUUUUUUCAGUUAUAGGGCGGAGAGAGGGAGGCAACUGAAACUUUUAGAGUCGAGUUUACGCUCUUUCCUCCUCUUUCGAUAAGCUUUUCAUAGCCGUAGUCGUACUCAAGUACCCUUGCAGGGGAAUCCACUUCUGAGAUGGAGAGAAUCCCGGGAUGCAUAUGCUCUUUUCAGGGUUGAAGGAAGAAGUAAGCGCAGCUAUUGGACUUCUUUGUGGUAUGGCAGCAGUAGCAAAGAAAGAAGCUGCUCACUCUGCUUUACCGAGAAAGGGAGCAGUGAGAAAGGGGUGACUAUCAUACGGAAAUGAAACUAGUAAAGUAAGAUGCCGGAACUCUUGCUUUCGUCUUGUCUUUACUCUUCCCCCCAUCCUCUCGUCGCCUGUCCGCUCAACUCUGAUACCCGAAUCUCCUUUUGUUUGAAGUUUAUUGGACAUGAAUGAACCCGAACAGACGUACCCGCCGCUUCUGCUUUCUGCCAUAUGGGUUCAGUUUCAUAAUGUUAUUACCGGACUCCAUUUAUUGAAUUUGGUCUAGCUAUAUUACAAGCUUCUGUUUUUACGAUCAACAUCUAAUUAUAGUAGACAACCUACUUUCUUAAUAAAGAGAAGUUGGGGACAUAGUAAACCUCCUACUAUAAGAGCGAUUCCCUGGGACCGGAAGGGGAAAGAUUGAAUCUUGAAAGACUGAGCCCCCGGCUAGCAAGAUCGGGAGGGUUAGUGUCCUCUUAAGAAGGAAUACCCAACUUCUGGGGUCAGCUUCGAUCACGAGGAGAGAAGAGCGGACCAUUGAAAGUCUCAAUUCCUAUCCGCCCAAGGUAGAGAGUUCGAUUUCAAAUCCAACGAUUUAUUGACCUACGAAUCUGCUAUUACGCAACUCAACCCUUCUCCGCAAGCUCUUUCAGUUGUUGGAUGCGCAAAACAACCUAUUCCCCUUUACGACGACUCGGUGACCUUUGACACGUUACACCUGGUUGCACGUAAUCUUGACUUUCGCCCUUCACUCGUGCAGUUGGACUGACUAGUGACUUUAAAUUCAACCUUGAGACCGAGCCCUGCCUCUCACCUUUCGGUUCAUUGCAAGGAAAGACUAAAAAGAAAAAAGGAAGCUUUCGGCGGACACAAGCCCUCGGGACUUGACACUUGGACACCGGGAAGCUUGCCCCAGGGUCCUUCGUUUGGAACUGCCCUUUUCCUUUCCAAAGUGGAAUUCCUCCUUGCUUUCCCCUUUGACCUGUGCCAAACUCCACUUUUGCUGUUGCCAGGUGGAAUGAUUCAUUCAACCUCGGUAUCGGCAACCAAGACACCCUUCUCUGUCGAAUGAAUCUUCAAAUCAUCAUCUUCAAACCACGACUCCGAUCACGGUUUCCAGUUGACUUUAUCUCAGGUGACAGGGGCAGGAGAACACUUCACAAAAUGCGCUUUGACAGCGAGCGAGAUCUUUGAAAUUCAAUCAGAACAGCACUGGGUGGGUAAGAUAUAGGAUUCUUGUCUGAGUCGCGUGGAUCACAAAAUGGAUCUAUGAUUUCAAGUCCACUCGUUGAUUUCGAGAAAACCGAAUCAAUUGGCUUUUUUCCCAGCGAUGCCUCCAACUCGAGAUUUUGAUUCAUAGAACUGGCCAUCAAAUGUAUAUUCAUCCAUCUAUCAGCUGCGUCUUCUUUAGUGAAUGAAAGAGGGACUCGUUUCAUAGGUAGCAAGGAUAGGAAGAAGGGGUUCAAUGAAGGCUGCUGUUGAGGUUUUUAUUCCAACUAGCGAGGAAAGGCCUCGUUUUGGUCCUGUAGAAUGAAUGUGAAAAGCAGAAUCCUCAGAAUCGUAUGAUUCAGAUACCUGACGAAAUGAACAGAUAAAAGAUCGGGAUAGCCGGGAUGACCUAUUUCAAGAUCAGAUGAUCCACCUCUUUGUCCGCUUGGGAGGGCUAACUCGGAUAGGUCAGAUACGAGGGAAAGAGCCCAUAAAAGAGAGAUCGGAUGCCCUUUCCGAUGCAGUUCACGAUGCGGAGCUGCCAACUAGCUAAGCUAGGUAGUUUGUUGUUAGAAUAUCUAUCCUAGUAGGAAGAUGGAAAGAAUAUACUAUACACUAUAGGAGAGUCAAAGAAUAGGCCUGUUGGAACUAUAUCAAGAUUAGAAUGACAAGGAAUAUCCGUAUCCGUAUAUAAUAAGUUGGGCUCUAUCCUUCCCGCCCACCUCAUUAAUAUCUGGAGGGAAGAAUCCGAGGGUAGCCUGAUGAUUAAGGGACAGGGACACUGUCAACAGGGUAUGGUUCUUUUUUAUCACCCCGGAUGACGCACACUGCUUUAAAUAAAGCGCAGUGAAUAAUGCGCCAGACCGCCUAACCAGUUGAACCGUUCUCUUAUAGAACGGGUAAGCCACAAAAGAAUGUUCCUUGCUUCCAGCUAUCCUCAUGAGUCAUUUUUGCUGUAAUCUGUCUCUCGAUAAGAAGCUUUCUUUUGAUCCGGGGUAAUCUCGUCUUCUUGAAGAAUUACGGAUUCCUAAACCUAGUAAGGGAAAGCGAUUCUACUCCAAUUGCAUUCAUCAGUUGGAUGAGAGUGAGAAUAGAAAGGAAGCCGGGAGGAAGAAUGGAGUAUAGCAUUACCUCUAGAGUACAACCCUACUCCUGCGCCCCUCAAUCCCAUAUCUACUACUUAGUCAAGCCCUUAACUACUUCUAUAUCUUAGAACAACCCUGCUCUCUGAUCGACGUUUUAUAGUCUUCAUAUCUAUGGAAAGAGGAAGCUAGGAGAGGAUUCUAAACAAUUCUAUCGAGCCGAACAACAAAAAGAGAAAGAUAGAAUACCUUUCUUAGCUAGCCUAGCGUGCUAUAAACCUACAGGGAACAAGAGCCAGAUCGAAGACAUUCCUUUCCUUCUUUUAUACCCCUCUCUUCUUAGUUGCUCCUCUUUCUAGGGAUCUAAUGGUCGUAGACCACCUUCUUGUGACUAUGUUGAAGAAUUCUUUCCCCCCUUUGAGUUCUCGAGUGAAAGGGUCCAAGCCAUAGGAAAAUAUCCAGUUUCUCUCGCAACAUAUCUAGUUUAUCCUGAAGCAGCAUUUCUCGAAGUAGCAUUCCCAUAAGUAGAGGAUGAAACCCUUGCUUGUUUAUCCCGACGAGGGUUUAUGAAUCACUCAAACGAGCCUUUCUAGCCGCAUCUGAAUCGGCAUCCCUAUCCAUAUGUUUAUGCGCAGGGGCAUCCAAAUCCGAAUCUGUAGAAUCUAUUGGGGAAUCCCCAUCCGCACCCGAAUUGGCUAAAUCUAGUAUAGUGGGUCUUGUUCCGAUGCGGGAAAAAAUCUUUUUAAAAGGCAUCUCGGCGAAAGAGGACUGAGAACCAUAAGGCGAGCGCCAAAACGCUAGCACAAACUGCUCCCACAGACACGCAUGAUAAGGGGGUGUGGGGACAACCAGGCCACCACUUUUACCAGAUAUGGGUCCGGACGACCCAAGAGCCCGCCACUAGAACCCAACCCUUAAGAGGCUAAGGUCCAAGGGGCUACCGCAGGAAG
rnacentral:lncRNA from 1 species